GCAAACUUGGUCAUUUAGAGGAAGUAAAAGUCGUAACAAGGUUUCCGUAGGUGAACCUGCGGAAGGAUCAUUAUUGAAUUCCAAACGUAAAGGACUUGUGCUGUGCGCUUUCACCGGCUGCACGCCUUGUCCGAUACAUUCACACCUGUGCACCUUUGACCCGCAUAUAGUCGGGUCCUUACACACACACUUUAAAAAUCUUAGAAUGUUUUUGUUUGAAAUUAUGACAACUUUCAACAACGGAUCUCUUGGCUCUCGCAUCGAUGAAGAACGCAGC
rnacentral:misc_RNA from 1 species